AGUUGGCUGGAAAGUCCCAAAUAGGACGAAAUGCGCAUCCUGACU
rnacentral:hammerhead_ribozyme from 1 species